rnacentral:rRNA from 1 species
UGGCGGCGUGCCUAACACAUGCAAGUCAACUUGACUGAAGGAGCAAUCUGACAGUAGAGUGGCGCAAGGGUGCGUAACGCGUAAGUAACUUGCCCAAGGUAAGGAAUAACGUCGAGAAAUCGGCGCUAAUACCUCAUAAUGCAGCGGAUCCGCAUGGAUAUGUUGUUAAAGGUUUACCGCCUUGGGAUAGGCUUGCGUCUGAUUAGCUAGUUGGUGUGGUAACGGCACACCAAGGCUACGAUCAGUAACUGGUCUGAGAGGAUGAUCAGUCACACUGGAACUGAGACACGGUCCAGACUCCUACGGGAGGCAGCAGUGAGGAAUAUUGGGCAAUGCUCGAAAGAGUGACCCAGCAACGCCGCGUGGAGGAUGAAGGUAUUCUAUAUCGUAAACUCCUGUGAGAGCAGACGAAAGACAGAUUAUUAAUCUGGAUGACUGUAUGCUCAGAGGAAGCCCCGGCUAACUACGUG